GUUCCGGUGAACUAAGUGGUUAGAGCUUCUGCCUCGGAUGCGGUAGGUCGCGGGUUCGAAUCCCGGCUGUCAUA